GACAACGUGGCCGAGUGGUUAAGGCGAUGGAUUGCUAAUUAUCUAUACGAAAUGCAACCAUCCAUUGCACUUUGUGCGCGUAGGUUCGAAUCCUACCGUUGUCG
rfam:Fragilariopsis cylindrus CCMP1102 unplaced genomic scaffold FRACYscaffold_9, whole genome shotgun sequence.